GUGUUCUCUUUCAACAGCACAUAUAUUAAAACUGAAGUGACACAGAAAAUCAGCAUGGCCUCUGCAUAAGAAUGACAGCCAACUUGUAAAUCAUUCCAUGUUUUU